GACCAAGUCUGGAAUAGUGGAAAGUCUCUUGUCAUGGGCAAAUUUUAAGCAGAGCAAGGAUCUUAAGAAAACUGAUGGGACAAAGAGGCAGAGGAUAACUGGGAUUCCCAAACUAGAAGAUGCUAAUGAUGUCGGAGGGAAGAGCUCUGAUAAAUGUACCUUGAUUUUGACAGAAGGUGUUUCAGCGAAGGCACUUGUGUGUUCUGGGAAUUAUACUUGGAGGUGGAGUUGGGACUCGCCUUUACCCUCUUACAAAGAAGAGAAAACCAACUGUUCCUUUAGGAGCAAAUUAUCACCUGAUUGACAUUCCAGUCAGCAAUUGCCUGAACAGCAACAUAUCAAAGAUCUAUGUUCUUACACAAUUCAAUUCUGCAUCUGUAAAUCGUCACCUUUCACGGGCAUACGCAAGUAACAUGGGUGGCUACAAGAAUGAAGGUUUUGUUGAAGUUCUUGCUGCUCAGCAAAACCCGGAGAACCCCGAUUGGUUCCAGUUGCCUUCUAUGUUGCUUGUGCAAGGAGCACUGCCAAAUUUGUCAGCUCCUACAGCCUUAUUGCAAACUGCAGAUACCCACUCCUCCCAUUUGAUGCAGCCUCAGGCUUCAUCUUAUGGAUCUAUACCACCUUCACAGAUACCUUCUUCGGGAAUGUCUCCAUCUCCUGGGGCAUUCAUGGGGCAACAAUUUCCCAAUAAUAUGCCAUUUCCCAGAGUGGACAGAAGUGAGCAGGUUAUGCCAUAGAAAGCCACUUCUAACAGUGACUGGGAAGUAUCUAGGGCCAACCAUUGCUGUCCAUGAAGGUGAUAAUGUUGUAGUUAAGGUUACCAACCUUGCUGCCAGGAACACAACUAUCCAUUGGUGGGGAUGACGGGAUGAGCUUACCUGGUGAUGGUGGAGAAGAUUGCUUUCUUCGGAGCUUUGUUCUUCCUUCUUCAGAGCUUUCUUCCUUCUUCAUUGAUACAGAUGAUACAUAUGAUGUAAAGAAAUGAUGUGAAGACUGCCUUACCUGGAAUCAUUUCUGCAGAGAAGUUAAAAAAGGUUGUGUGAGACCAAACAGCUCCCGGCAUUAUCUCUCUUUUGUUGAUCAAGGUGGAGAGGGGAAUCGAUCAGAACUAGUAGAACCUCAUCUGGUAGUCCUGGCAUUAUCUCUCUUCUGUACUGUACCAGAAAACCUGCCUCGACUAUUGUUUUGAAAAACCAAUAAAGGUGCCUUACAUCAUUACUGCUUUGAUGUAUACGAAGCUUGGCACGGAAGGCCGCAAGAAUCUUUUUGAUUGGCUAUCAAGGCAACUUAGUGGAUUAAGCAAUUUUCCUGAUGCUGUAAAUUUGAAUUAUGUAUUGUUUCAAAUUGUUAUGCGAGAUGGAUGUGACUUGUGAAUGAAAACUUAGAAUAGUAAUAUUGUGUCGAAUGUUAAUGAAUUAUGUAUUGUGUCGAAUG